UACGUAGGGGGCAAGCGUUGUCCGGAUUUAUUGGGCGUAAAGAGCGUGUAGGCGGCCAGAUAGGUCCGUUGUGAAAACUGGAGGCUUAACCUCCAGCGGUCGAUGGAAACCAUCUGGCUAGAGUCCGGAAGAGGAGAGUGGAAUUCCUGGUGUAGCGGUGAAAUGCGCAGAUAUCAGGAAGAACACCCGUGGCGAAGGCGACUCUCUGGGACGGUACUGACGCUGAGACGCGAAAGCGUGGGGAGCAAACGGG
rnacentral:rRNA from 1 species